GAUCCUGGCUCAGGAUGAACGCUGGCGGCGUGCCUAACACAUGCAAGUCGAGCGAUUCUCUUCGGAGAAGAGCGGCGGACGGGCGAGUAACGCGUGGGUAACCUGCCCUAUACACACGGAUAACAUACCGAAAGGUAUGCUAAUACGGGAUAACAUAAGAGAUUCGCAUGGAUUUCUUAUCAAAGCUGCGGCGGUAUAGGAUGGACCCGCGUCUGAUUAGCUAGUUGGUGAGGUAACGG
rnacentral:rRNA from 1 species